GGGCCCGCACAAGCGGUGGAGCAUGUGGUUUAAUUCGAUGAUACGCGAGGAACCUUACCAGGGCUUAAAUGUAAGUUGCAUUAGUUAGAGAUAGCUAUUUCUUCGGACCACUUACAAGGUGCUGCAUGGUUGUCGUCAGCUCGUGCCGUGAGGUGUCAGGUUAAGUCCUAUAACGAGCGCAACCCCUAUCGUUAGUUGCCAGCGGGUAAUGCCGGGAACUCUAGCGAAACUGCCGGUGCAAACCGAGAGGAAGGUGGGGACGACGUCAAGUCAUCACGGCCCUUACAUCCUGGCCACACACGUGCUACAAUGGUAGUGACAGAGGGCAGCCACUGGGUGACCAGGAGCG
rnacentral:rRNA from 1 species